rnacentral:lncRNA from 1 species
AGAUGAUAUAAUGCAAAGUUAUACAGAACAUACUGGAAUGGCAUCUUUCAGGUUUCAAAUCUAUAUCUUGGCUUUCUGUGCAGGCCUUGUUAUUCAAAGCAGCUGCAAUGGCCAUUCUGGGCUUCGGAAAAAACAUGUAGCCCUGUUCAUCUUUGGUGAUUCACUCUAUGAUCCUGGAAAUAAUAACUACAUAAAUACCACAACUUCUUUCCAGGCAAAUUGGUUGCCAUAUGGUGAAACAUUCUUCAGGUACCCAACUGGUAGAUUUUCUGAUGGGCGUUUAAUCCCAGAUUUCAUUGGUAAGAACCAUCUUGUGAGUAAUAUUGUUUCUUUCAGUCAUUUCUUCAAACACCUUUGCUUUUAACUGACAGCAACUGAUAAUACAAACACAUGAUACAACUAACUAUUAAAUUUACAUUCAUGUUUCAGCUGAGUAUGCCAAGUUGCCAAUUAUACCAGCGUAUUUACAACCUGGGUUGAAAGACUAUACUUAUGGGGUGAACUUUGCUUCUGGUGGAGCUGGUGCUCUGGUUGAAAGCCAUCAAGGAUUUGU